rnacentral:rRNA from 1 species
AGUGAACGCUGGCGGUAGGCCUAACACAUGCAAGUCGAACGGCAGCACAGUAGGAGCUUGCUCUUACGGGUGGCGAGUGGCGGACGGGUGAGGAAUACAUCGGAAUCUACUUUUUCGUGGGGGAUAACGUAGGGAAACUUACGCUAAUACCGCAUACGACCUACGGGUGAAAGCAGGGGAUCUUCGGACCUUGCGCGAUUGAAUGAGCCGAUGUCGGAUUAGCUAGUUGGCGGGGUAAAGGCCCACCAAGGCGACGAUCCGUAGCUGGUCUGAGAGGAUGAUCAGCCACACUGGAACUGAGACACGGUCCAGACUCCUACGGGAGGCAGCAGUGGGGAAUAUUGGACAAUGGGCGCAAGCCUGAUCCAGCCAUCCCGCGUGGGUGAAGAAGGCCUUCGGGUUGUAAAGCCCUUUUGUUGGGAAAGAAAAGCAGCAGGUUAAUACCCCGCUGUUCUGACGGUACCCAAAGAAUAAGCACCGGCUAACUUCGUG